CUUACCUGCACGCAACGAUUUUGACAAUUACCAGCUUCGAUUUCGCCAGAAACUAAAUCAAGAUUUGAACUUUGAUCCGCAUUAGCCGGGACUUGAUUCUCGAGUAAGUCAUCGCUUGGGCUGCUCAUAUUCAAUUCGACUUCGAGUGUAUUCGGUCAGUAUAAUCUGCAGACUGCGGACUGCAGACUGCAGACCGGACUGGGUACAAAAUGCAGACUGGGGGUAUAAAAUGCAGACUGAGGAUAAAAUGCAGACUGGGGGUGAAUUAGGGAUAUUUUACAAAUUCCCGCCAAGCCAUAGUCGAAAUGGACGAAGACAGCGAUGUAGAGGUAUUGAUAUUAUAUGAAUAUUUAUAUUAUUCUCAUUCAACCGUAAAACUUGAUAACUUUAACACAUUUCUUUACGUUUAA